GACGAACGCUGGCGGCGUGCUUAACACAUGCAAGUCGAACGGUAAGGCUCCAGCUUGCUGGGGUACACGAGUGGCGAACGGGUGAGUAACACGUGGGUGACCUGCCCUGCACUUCGGGAUAAGCCUGGGAAACUGGGUCUAAUACCGGAUAGGACCGCACCGUGAGGGUGUGGUGGAAAGUUUUUUCGGUGUGGGAUGGGCCCGCGGCCUAUCAGCUUGUUGGUGGGGUAAUGGCCUACCAAGGCGGCGACGGGUAGCCGGCCUGAGAGGGUGGACGGCCACAUUGGGACUGAGACACGGCCCAGACUCCUACGGGAGGCAGCAGUGGGGAAUAUUGCACAAUGGGCGGAAGCCUGAUGCAGCGACGCCGCGUGGGGGAUGACGGCCUUCGGGUUGUAAACUCCUUUCACCAUCGACGAAGGGUUUCUGACGGUAGAUGGAGAAGAAGCACCGGCUAACUACGUGCCAGCAGCCGCGGUAAUACGUAGGGUGCGAGCGUUGUCCGGAAUUACUGGGCGUAAAGAGCUCGUAGGUGGUUUGUCGCGUCGUCUGUGAAAUUCCGGGGCUUAACUCCGGGCGUGCAGGCGAUACGGGCAUAACUUGAGUACUGUAGGGGAGACUGGAAUUUCUUGGUGUAGCGGUGAAAUGCGCAAAUAUCAGGAGGAACACCGGUGGCGAAAGCGGGUCUCUGGGCAGUAACUGACGCUGAGGAGCGAAAGCAUGGGGAGCGAACAGGAUUAAUUACCUCGGUAGUCCACGGGCGAAUUCCACAGUGGAUAUCAAGCUUAUCGAUACCUCCACCUCGCGGGGGGAGAAAAAAUAUCAAACUUUUGUUCCCUUUGUGAGGGGUAAUUAA
rnacentral:rRNA from 1 species